AGACACUUGUACUCUGUAAA
rnacentral:misc_RNA from 1 species